GCCGGUGUGGCGGAAUUGGCAGACGCGCUGGAUUCAAAAUCCAGUUCCCUUUGCGGGAGUAUCGGUUCGACCCCGAUCACCGGUA
rnacentral:tRNA from 1 species